rnacentral:rRNA from 1 species
GUUAAGCGACUAAGCGUACACGGUGGAUGCCCUGGCAGUCAGAGGCGAUGAAGGGCGUGCUAAUCUGCGAUAAGCGCCGGUAAGGUGAUAUGAACCGUUAUAACCGGCGAUACCCGAAUGGGGAAACCCAGUGUGAUUCGUCACACUAUCAUUAACUGAAUCCAUAGGUUAAUGAGGCGAACCGGGGGAACUGAAACAUCUAAGUACCCCGAGGAAAAGAAAUCAACCGAGAUUCCCCCAGUAGCGGCGAGCGAACGGGGAGGAGCCCAGAGCCUGAAUCAGCAUGUGUGUUAGUGGAAGCGUCUGGAAAGGCGCGCGAUACAGGGUGACAGCCCCGUACACAAAAGCGCAUGUGCUGUGAGCUCGAUGAGUAGGGCGGGACACGUGGUAUCCUGUCUGAAUAUGGGGGGACCAUCCUCCAAGGCUAAAUACUCCUGACUGACCGAUAGUGAACCAGUACCGUGAGGGAAAGGCGAAAAGAACCCCGGCGAGGGGAGUGAAAAAGAACCUGAAACCGUGUACGUACAAGCAGUGGGAGCACAGGUUUACCUGUGUGACUGCGUACCUUUUGUAUAAUGGGUCAGCGACUUAUAUUCUGUAGCAAGGUUAACCGUAUAGGGGAGCCG